rnacentral:rRNA from 1 species
GUGUCAGCAGCCGCGGUAAAACGUAGGAGGCGAGCGUUAUCCGGAUUUACUGGGCGUAAAGCGCACGCAGGCGGCUGGGUAAGUUGGACGUGAAAGCUCCUGGCUUAACUGGGAGAGGUCGUUCAAGACUGUCCGGCUUGAGGUUGGGAGAGGGGUGCGGAAUUCCCGGUGUAGUGGUGGAAUGCGUAGAGAUCGGGAGGAACACCAGUGGCGCAAGCGGCACCCUGGCCCACACCUGACGCUGAGGUGCGAAAGCGUGGGUAGCAAACAGGAUUAGAUACCCCCGUAGUCC